CGUAGGAGCAAGCGUUGUCCGGAUUUACUGGGUGUAAAGGGUGCGUAGGCGGCUUUGCAAGUCAGAUGUGAAAUCUAUGGGCUCAACCCAUAAACUGCAUUUGAAACUGUAGAGCUUGAGUGAAGUAGAGGCAGGCGGAAUUCCCCGUGUAGCGGUGAAAUGCGUAGAGAUGGGGAGGAACACCAGUGGCGAAGGCGGCCUGCUGGGCUUUAACUGACGCUGAAGGCACGAAAGCGUGGGUAGCAAACAGGAUU
rnacentral:rRNA from 1 species